UACGUAGGGUGCGAGCGUUAAUCGGAAUUACUGGGCGUAAAGCGUGCGCAGGCGGUUCGUGAUGUCUGGUGUGAAAGCCCCGGGCUUAACCUGGGAAUUGCAUUGGAAACUAGCGGGCUGGAGUGUGGCAGAGGGGGGUGGAAUUCCACGUGUAGCAGUGAAAUGCGUAGAGAUGUGGAGGAACACCGAUGGCGAAGGCGGCCCCCUGGGCUAACACUGACGCUCAUGCACGAAAGCGUGGGGAGCAAACAGG
rnacentral:rRNA from 1 species